AGAGUUUGAUCCUGGCUCAGGAUGAACGCUGGCGGCGUGCCUAAUACAUGCAAGUCGAACGAAACUUCUUUAUCACCGAGUGCUUGCACUCACCGAUAAAGAGUUGAGUGGCGAACGGGUGAGUAACACGUGGGCAACCUUCCCAAAAGAGGGGGAUAACACUUGGAAACAGGUGCUAAUACCGCAUAACCAUGGUUACCGCAUGGUAACUAUGUAAAAGGUGGCUAUGCUACCGCUUUUGGAUGGCCCGCGGCGCAUUAGCUAGUUGGUGAGGUAAAGGCUUACCAAGGCAAUGAUGCGUAGCCGAACUGAGAGGUUGAUCGGCCACAUUGGGACUGAGACACGGCCCAAACUCCUACGGGAGGCAGCAGUAGGGAAUCUUCCAAAUGGGCGAAAGCCUGAUGGAGCAACGCCGCGUGGGUGAAGAAGGUCUUCGGAUCGUAAAACCCUGUUGUUAGAGAAGAAAGUGCGUGAGAGUAACUGUUCACGUUUCGACGGUAUCUAACCAGAAAGCCACGGCUAACUACGUGCCAGCAGCCGCGGUAAUACGUAGGUGGCAAGCGUUAUCCGGAUUUAUUGGGCGUAAAGGGAACGCAGGCGGUCUUUUAAGUCUGAUGUGAAAGCCUUCGGCUUAACCGGAGUAGUGCAUUGGAAACUGGGAGACUUGAGUGCAGAAGAGGAGAGUGGAACUCCAUGUGUAGCGGUGAAAUGCGUAGAUAUAUGGAAGAACACCAGUGGCGAAAGCGGCUCUCUGGUCUGUAACUGACGCUGAGGUUCGAAAGCGUGGGUAGCAAACAGGAUUAGAUACCCUGGUAGUCCACGCCGUAAACGAUGAAUGCUAAGUGUUGGAGGGUUUCCGCCCUUCAGUGCUGCAGCUAACGCAAUAAGCAUUCCGCCUGGGGAGUACGACCGCAAGGUUGAAACUCAAAGGAAUUGACGGGGGCCCGCACAAGCGGUGGAGCAUGUGGUUUAAUUCGAAGCAACGCGAAGAACCUUACCAGGUCUUGACAUCUUCUGACAAUCCUAGAGAUAGGACUUUCCCUUCGGGGACAGAAUGACAGGUGGUGCAUGGUUGUCGUCAGCUCGUGUCGUGAGAUGUUGGGUUAAGUCCCGCAACGAGCGCAACCCUUAUUGUUAGUUGCCAGCAUUAAGUUGGGCACUCUAGCAAGACUGCCGGUGACAAGCCGGAGGAAGGUGGGGAUGACGUCAAAUCAUCAUGCCCCUUAUGACCUGGGCUACACACGUGCUACAAUGGACGGUACAACGAGUCGCAAGACCGCGAGGUUUAGCAAAUCUCUUAAAGCCGUUCUCAGUUCGGAUUGUAGGCUGCAACUCGCCUACAUGAAGUCGGAAUCGCUAGUAAUCGCGGAUCAGCAUGCCGCGGUGAAUACGUUCCCGGGCCUUGCACUCACCGCCCGUCA
rnacentral:rRNA from 1 species